rnacentral:misc_RNA from 1 species
GAUGAAGAACGCAGUGAAAUGCGAUACUUGGUGUGAAUUGCAGAAUCCCGUGAACCAUCGAGUCUUUGAACGCAAGUUGCGCCUCAAGCCAUUAGGUUGAGGGCACGUCUGCCUGGGCGUCACAUAUCGUUGCCUGAUGCCAGUUUGCUCGUGAUGGGUGACUGUGCAGGGCGAAUGAUGGCUUCCCGUGAGCAUUGUUGCCUCAUGGUUGGUUGAAAAUUGAGUCCUUGGUAGGGAGCGCCGUGAUAGAUGGUGGUUGAGUGACGAACGAGACCCAAUCAUGUGAGACCCCUACCGAAUUUGGCCUUCAUGACCCACAUGCGUCUUUGGAACGCUCAUGACGAGACCUCAGGUCAGGCGGGGCUACCCGCUGAGUUUAAGCAUAUCAAUAAGCGGAGGA